rnacentral:tRNA from 1 species
UCUCAGAUGGUAAAGCAUCUGCUUGCAAUGCGGAAGACCUGGGUUCAAUCCCUGGUUUGAGAG